GUUUAAUGAUGGUUUCAAAUGUCUGACCUGAAUUGCACGUGUAGAGAACAAGAUUACUGAAGAA